rnacentral:rRNA from 1 species
UGGGAUGACGUCAAGUCCUCAUGGCCUUAUGCCCAGGGCUACACACGUGCUACAAUGGGUGGUACAAAGAGAGGCAAGCUCGCGAGAGUAAGCAAAUCUCAAAAAGCCAUCCUCAGUUCGGAUUGGAGUCUGCAACUCGACUUCAUGAAGUUGGAAUCGCUAGUAAUCGCGGAUCAGCAUGCCGCGGUGAAUACGUUCCCGGGCCUU